rnacentral:misc_RNA from 1 species
GUGAAUCAUCGAAUUUUUGAACGCAAAUUGCGCUUCCUGGCAUCCCGGGGAGUAUGCCUGUUUGAGGGUCAGUAUUAACAAAAAAUCGGUUUGGUUGCAAAUUGUGACGUUUCCGGAGUUUGGGCUAUCUUAACUUUUUUGGUUAAGGGGCUUAAAAUUGACCUUAUUUGGGCAUUUUUAGAGUUACAUAAAUUUUUUUUUUUUUGUUUUUUCUUAAUUGCAAAAUUCUAAUUAGUAGGA